GGGUGUGAGGGUGAUCUGGUGGUGACAUCGGUCAGCCCACCGAUUGCCAGGGUUGACUUGGCUGCUCUGGCUGGCUGGGCAGGUAUCUCCUUCUGCAGUCACCCCUCCACGUGCCACCCCCACCCCCGCCCCCAAAGCUGUGCACUGGGUGGAAGAGGAAGACGUUCUUCGGUCAAGGGAGUACAAGUAGCUGUGCUCCCUGGCUGGAAUCUCCAAACAAGCUUUCAAAGUCCAUUUAUAGGCGAAUGUAAGGUAGUCAAGUUUCCAAGACUCCAGACACAUCCAAAUGGGGUGCCACACACAUGUGAGAGUCUGGUUUUCUU
rfam:Mustela putorius furo unplaced genomic scaffold scaffold00038, whole genome shotgun sequence.